rnacentral:rRNA from 1 species
GACGUAGGGGACGAGCGUUGUCCGGAUUCAUUGGGCGUAAAGCGCGCGUAGGCGGCCACGCAAGUCGGGUGUGAAAUCCCGGAGCUCAACUCCGGAACUGCACUCGAAACUGCGCGGCUUGAGGUAGGUAGGGGAGAUCGGAAUUCCUGGUGUAGCGGUGGAAUGCGCAGAUAUCAGGAGGAACACCGGUGGCGAAGGCGGAUCUCUGGGCCUUACCUGACGCUGAGACGCGAAAGCGUGGGGAGCGAACAGG